rnacentral:tRNA from 1 species
GUUCGGGUGGCAGAGCGGCCAUGCGUCGGACUGCAAAUCCGUCUUACGCCGGUUCGAAUCCGGCCCCGAACUCCA